GCAAAUUGCACAUGUAAAGAAGGUUACACUGGAAACGGAAGUUCUUGUGAUGAUAUCGACGAAUGUAAAGGAGAAAAUCCGUGCCAAUCAAAUUCUACGUGCAGGAAUCUACCCGGAUUAUAUGCAUGCUCAGCUCAACCUGUACUUUGGGGAGGAAUAAGAUGUCCCAGUCCUACACCAACAAAAAAAAUUGAUCAUACGACGACGGUAAUGAUU